UUCGCAAUGCCCGAAAGGGUGACGAAGCGACGCCGCGUGGGUGAGGAAGGCCCUCGGGUUGUAAAGCCCUGUCAGGAGUUAAGAAAUGUAAGUGCGCUAAUAUCGCAUUUAUUUGACGAAGGCUCCAAAGGAAGCCACGGCUAACUCUGUGCCAGCAGCCGCGGUAAUACAGAGGUGGCAAGCGUUGUUCGGAAUUAUUGGGCGUAAAGAGCACGUAGGUGGGUUUGUAAGUCAGAUGUGAAAGCCUUCUGUUCAACGGAAGAAUUGCAUCUGAAACUACAAGUCUUGAGUGUAGGAGGGGAGAAUGGAACUUCUGGUGGAGCGGUGAAAUGCGUAGAUAUCAGAAGGAACGCCGGCGGCGAAAGCGAUUCUCUGGCCUAUUACUGACACUCAGUGUGCGAAAGCUAGGGGAGCAAACGGGAUUAGAUACCCCGGUAGUCCUAGCCGUAAACGAUGGGCACUAAGUAGAGGGGUUUUA
rnacentral:rRNA from 1 species